CGGGUGAGUAACACGUGGGUAACCUGCCCUUACCCUAGGGGAUAACAUUUGGAAACAGAUGCUAAUACCGUAUAAAUCUCAGAAACACAUGUUUCUGAGCUGAAAGGCGGCUUUCGAGCUGUCGCUUUUGGAUGGACCCGCGGCGUAUUAGCUAGUUGGUGAGGUAAAGGCUCACCAAGGCAGUGAUACGUAGCCGACCUGAGAGGGUGAUCGGCCACAUUGGGACUGAGACACGGCCCAAACUCCUACGGGAGGCAGCAGUAGGGAAUCUUCCACAAUGGACGAAAGUCUGAUGGAGCAACGCCGCGUGAGUGAAGAAGGUUUUCGGAUCGUAAAACUCUGUUGUUGGAGAAGAACACGUUUGAGAGUAACUGUUCAGACGUUGACGGUAUCCAACCAGAAAGCCACGGCUAACUACGUGCCAGCAGCCGCGGUAAUACGUAGGUGGCAAGCGUUAUCCGGAUUUAUUGGGCGUAAAGCGAGCGCAGGCGGUUUUUUAAGUCUGAUGUGAAAGCCUUCGGCUUAACCGAAGAAGUGCAUCGGAAACUGGGAAACUUGAGUGCAGAAGAGGACAGUGGAACUCCAUGUGUAGUGGUGAAAUGCGUAGAUAUAUGGAAGAACACCAGUGGCGAAGGCGGCUGUCUGGUCUGUAACUGACGCUGAGGCUCGAAAGCAUGGGUAGCGAACAGGAUUAGAUACCCUGGUAGUCCAUGCCGUAAACGAUGAAUGCUAGGUGUUGGAGGGUUUCCGCCCUU
rnacentral:rRNA from 1 species